AUGGUGUGUUAGUACCGCAGGGCAUGAUAUUUUGUGAACGAAUGGGGUCUUGUGCACCAGCCGUUGGCAACAGCAGAACAUGUCGACUGCGUUUUGCUGCCCAAAGAAUACAGCGCAGAGAGAGAGACGAAUCAAACACAAAGAAGCACAAGGGACAAAUGUCCUGUAAAAGAGUGCAGACGACCUGCGAGAAGACAUAUUUACGGAGAACCCAGCCCGUCAACAACUGGAAGAUGAUCGAAUGCAGAGCGGAAAAUGCAGUCUUCCCGUGAGAUGCGAC